CUCUUGAAGACCGAUCCCUAUUGCUGUUAUCCUCCAGACAAAAUUCCAUCUUCGUGAGACCCAUAGUUCUCCCCUGAAUUUCUGGCAUUUGAUUGUACUUGAAACAGGUUGUAAUCUCAAUUGGGGGGUCCAGAUUGUUUUUCUUCUGAUAGAGUUGAUGGACGAUGGGCUCAAGAGUGCAAAGGGACUGGUGUUUUGUUGAUCUCCUACUCAGAAAAGCAAUCCAUAUGGUGGUUAAAGGUUUGUCCAAGACGAGGAUUCUCAAAUAUUACAUUCUAAGCACCUGCUUGACAUAAUGACCAGCUAAUGCACUUUUUGGACAACUUUUUAUAGCUCAAAUGAAGGAAGAGCGAAAUAAGGAGGCUACUUUUCUUAUUUCAGCCUUCAAGAAAAGUGAGAAAGUUGAUGAACUGCUUGAGUUGGCUGGCUACUACCAGACUUUUUUCAUGAAUUCUUAUCAAGAAGCAAGGAUAAAAACAUGGCAGUAGGAGAUUAUUCGAAUAAGCUCUGGGAAGAGGAAGACAAAUAAACUCUUGAACGAUAUUCGGCAUUGUAAAGAGAUUGAGAAAUGCAAGCUUGAACCAUAGUUAGUAAACACUUAGUAUCCAAUUAUGCAUACAACUUGUAAUAAUUUAUAGAAGUUUUUUUUUAACUGUAUUCUUUAUCAAUAUACU